UACGGGGGGGGCAAGCGUUGUUCGGAAUUACUGGGCGUAAAGGGCUCGUAGGCGGCCAACUAAGUCAGACGUGAAAUCCCCAGGCUCAACCUGGGAACUGCGUCUGAUACUGGAUGGCUUGAAUUCGGGAGAGGGAUGCAGAAUUCCAGGUGUAGCGGUGAAAUGCGUAGAUAUCAGGAGGAACACCGGUGGCGAAGGCGGGUCUCUGGGCCGUAACUGACGCUGAGGAGCGAAAGCGUGGGGAGCGAACAGG
rnacentral:rRNA from 1 species